ACAUGCAAGUCGAACGGUGAAGCCAAGCUUGCUUGGUGGAUCAGUGGCGAACGGGUGAGUAACACGUGAGCAACCUGCCCUGGACUCUGGGAUAAGCGCUGGAAACGGCGUCUAAUACUGGAUAUGAGCUCUCAUCGCAUGGUGGGGGUUGGAAAUGAUUUUUUGGUCUGGGAUGGGCUCGCGGCCUAUCAGCUUGUUGGUGAGGUAAUGGCUCACCAAGGCGUCGACGGGUAGCCGGCCUGAGAGGGUGACCGGCCACACUGGGACUGAGACACGGCCCAGACUCCUACGGGAGGCAGCAGUGGGGAAUAUUGCACAAUGGGCGAAAGCCUGAUGCAGCAACGCCGCGUGAGGGAUGACGGCCUUCUGGUUGUAAACCUCUUUUAGCAGGGAAGAAGCGAAAGUGACGGUACCUGCAGAAAAAGCGCCGGCUAACUACGUGCCAGCAGCCGCGGUAAUACGUAGGGCGCAAGCGUUAUCCGGAAUUAUUGGGCGUAAAGAGCUCGUAGGCGGUUUGUCGCGUCUGCUGUGAAAUCCCGAGGCUCAACCUCGGGCCUGCAGUGGGUCGGGCAGACUAGAGUGCGGUAGGGGAGAUUGGAAUUCCUGGUGUA
rnacentral:rRNA from 1 species